rnacentral:rRNA from 1 species
UGCUUAACACAUGCAAGUCGAACGGAUGGUACUUGGAGCUUGCUCUAGGUAUUUAUUAGUGGCAAACGGGUGAGUAACACGUGGGAAUCUACCCAUCAGUACGGAAUAACAUUUGGAAACAGAUGCUAAUACCGUAUAUUCUCUACGGAGGAAAGAUUUAUCGCUGAUGGAUGAGCCCGCGUAAGAUUAGGUAGUUGGUAGGGUACUGGCCUACCAAGCCUACGAUCUUUAGCUGGUCUGAGAGGAUGAUCAGCCACACUGGGACUGAGACACGGCCCAGACUCCUACGGGAGGCAGCAGUGGGGAAUAUUGGACAAUGGGCGAAAGCCUGAUCCAGCAAUACCGCGUGAAUGAUGAAGGCCUUAGGGUUGUAAAGUUC